UGGCAAUGCCACCCUGCUCUGUCUGGUCGCUGGGUACUACCCCUCAGGGGUCGACAUCUCCUGGAACCUGGAUGGGGUGAUGGUGAGCUCCGGGGUCAGCCAGAGCCCCGGGUGCCGUGAUGCCAAGGGACGUUACACGACGGUGAGCCGUGUGGAGGUGCCCACGCCAGUCUGGGUGGGCGCACACCAAUACCGGUGCACAGUCCGGCACUCCGCACUCUCCCAGCCCAUUGUCAAGGAACUCCACAUUCUCGCUUCUGUCUCCCUCCGACGUCCCUCUCUCCGAGUGAUCCGACCAUCUAUCCGGGAGAUGGUGACCAAGCGGACUGCGACUCUGCACUGCGUAGCCACCCUAUUCAUCCCUGAGCCCAUCACCUUCCUCUGGAAGGCUCAGGGACUGGAGAUUCCCGGGUCUUCCCAGAGCCUGGUGCCAACUGCCAAUGAGGAUGGUAGCUACAGUGCCCGGAGUGAGUUAACAUUGGCACGGGAGGACUGGGAGGCAGGGACCAGCUACAGCUGUCAGCUUGCAAAUGCACAGUCCGAUCCCAUAAGCACCACUCUUCGUGUGGAGGACG